GCCUGGGUGGCUCAGUCGGUUGGGCAUCCGACUCCAGCUCAGGUCAUGAUUUCACAGUUCGUGGGUUCGAGCCCCGCGUCAGGCU
rnacentral:tRNA from 1 species